rnacentral:rRNA from 1 species
GAAUAUUGGACAAUGGGCGCAAGCCUGAUCCAGCAAUGCCGCGUGUGUGAAGAAGGCCUUCGGGUUGUAAAGCACUUUUGUACGGGAAGAAAAGCUUGGGGUGAAUAUCCUUAAGUCAUGACGGUACCGUAAGAAUAAGCACCGGCUAACUUCGUGCCAGCAGCCGCGGUAAUACGAAGGGUGCAAGCGUUAAUCGGAAUUACUGGGCGUAAAGCGUGCGUAGGCGGUUCGUUAAGUCUGUCGUGAAAGCCCUGGGCUCAACCUGGGAAUGGCGAUGGAUACUGGCGGGCUAGAGUCAGGUAGAGGGUGGUGGAAUUCCCGGUGUAGCGGUGAAAUGCGUAGAGAUCGGGAGGAACAUCUGUGGCGAAGGCGGCCACCUGGACCAUGACUGACGCUGAGGCACGAAAGCGUGGGGAGCAAACAGG